rnacentral:lncRNA from 8 species
UCACAUUCACGGUGUGGUAGGUGCUACUUGUUUUUCCUCGCGCCAUACGACGUUAUGCUCUCUUGCUCAACUGCUGCAUUUGUUGGUAGUGAGUAGCUAGGCUACUAUCUUAAUUACUAGCAAGAACAAUUAUUAUCCUUCAGAAGAUAGCUAACGUUAGGUACUUGGUUUAAUUACAGUUGAAUAUCUGCCUCGUCCAGUUUCCCAUAUCCAUCGUGUGAUCGUCAAGGCAGCGAACCCAUGGCGGACUCGGUGGAGACGUUCCAGACCCACCUAACCUCUGUCAUGGACAGUUUGAUCCGCGCAUCGGUGUGCGAGAUCACCAAACUGUUCCAGGACACGGUGAAUGACUAUCUGGUGGAAAUAUCGCUGAACAGGAAGGAAAUGGACGCUCUGAAACUCCGACUCCGACUGACGGAGAACAAACUGAGAAAUGAACGCAAGUACGGGAUGGGGUGGGCAGAGAAUCGCCGCAAUGCUGGUUUGAUAGUGUCUGAGGACGGUGGGCGGAAAAAGCGGAAAAUUGAAGUGCCUCGAGGAAAGCAGACGCUGGGCCUUGCCUUUGGAGGCGCGGGGGAGGAAGGAGGAGGAGCAGCCAGGGUAGUAACGGGGGGAGGGUGGAAGGAGGCACGCGAGCUGUACCUCAUUCAGUUCCCCGGGGAGGAAGGAGAACUAGAGGAGGAGGGGGGCUGUGUUUCGGGAGAGGGGGAGGAGACGGACAACAUCAAAGAGGAGGUGAGGGAGAUGAGGUUUUCCGAGGAGUCUGAAUGUCAUUCACUGCACCAGAGACCACUAUACUGAACAUGUAACAAUUUCAAAGAUUUUACUGUCUUACAGUUCAUAGAAGUAAAACCGGUCAAUUGAAAUGCAUUCAUUAGGCCCUAAUCUAUGGAUUUCACAUGACUGGGAAUGUAGAUAUGCAUCUGUUGGUCACAGAUACUGUAGCUUUUUUUUUUUUUUUUUUUUAAAUAACGUUGGGCAUGGAUCAGAACCAGUCACUAUCUGGUUUGACCACCAUUUGCCUCAUCCAGCGCGACACAUCUCCUUCUCAUAGAGUUGAUCAGGCUGUUGAUUGUGGCCUGUGGAAUGUUGUCCCACUCCUCGUCAAUGGCUGAGCGAAGUUGCUGGAUAUUGGCGGGAACUGGAACACGCUGACAUACACGUCGAUCCAGAGCAUCCCACACAUGCUCGAUGGGGUGACAUGUCUGGUAAGUAUGCAGGCCAUGGAAGAACUGGGGAAUGUUCAGCUUCCAGGAGUUGUGUACAGAUCCUUGCAACAUGGGGCUGUGCAGCAUUAUGCUGAAACAUAAGGUGAUGGGCCUCAAGAUCUCAUCACUGUAUCUAUGUGCAAUCCAAAUUGCCAUCAAUAAAAUGCGGUUGUUUUCGUUGUCUGUAGCUUAUUCCUGCCCAUGCCAUAACCCCACCGCCACCAUGGGGCACUGUUUACAAUGUUGACAUCUGCAAACCGCUCUCCCACAUGACCCCCAGACACGUGGUCUGCGGUUGUGAGGCCGGUUGGACGUACUAACAAAUUCUCUGAAACUACGUGGGAGUCGGCUUAUGGGAGAGAAAUGAACAUUCAAUUCUGUGGCAACAGCGCUGGUGGACAUUCCUGCAGUCAGCAUGCCGACUGCAUGCUACCUCAACUUGAGACAUCUGUGGCAUUGUGACAACUGCACAUUUUAUAUGUGCAAUGAUCAUGCUGUUUAAAUCAGCUUCUUGAUAUGCCACACCUGUCAGGUGGAUGGAUUACCUUGGUAAAAAGAGAAAUGCUCACUAACAGGGAGAGAAAUGUAAUUUUUUGUGUGCAAAUGGAACAUUUCUGGGAUCUUUUAUUUCAGCUCAUGAAACAUGGGACCAACACUACAUGUUGCGUUUUUAUAUUUUUGUUCAGUGAAGUUUAUCUGUGCGUGGUGAGACUCAGAACAAUGUUUUUAAUCUGCUGUGUUUGAGUGACUGACGAACUGCAGCAGUGCUGGUGGAUGUUGGAAAGACACCGAUUUGAUAUUCAGGUGCAGAAGUGCUUGUCCUGAAAGUGCACUCGAGUGUAGAACGUUGUAGACCCUAAACAUUAUAAUGUUAGGACGGAACAGUUGUGUAUUCUACCAGGCGACUUAAAUAAUACAAUUACUUUUCUUCAUGUCAUCUUAAACUGUCUAAACAUUGUACGUUUACAGAAAAUGCACAGUGUAAAACUUGAACAGUGUUCUUGUGACUUGGGGAUACUUGUAAAUACUUAUGAAAGUGCACUUUGCAUGAAAUGCUGGGUGUGCUCGUGAACUCUGCAUUAAUGUUACUGUGUUGUCUAUUGUGGGUAAUGUAGUUAUUUUUGC